GACGAACGCUGGCGGCGUGCUUAACACAUGCAAGUCGAACGGAAAGGCCCUGCUUGCCGGGUACUCGAGUGGCGAACGGGUGAGUAACACGUGGGUGAUCUGCCCUGCACUUCGGGAUAAGCCUGGGAAACUGGGUCUAAUACCGGAUAGGAGCCAUUUUUAGUGUGAUGGUUGGAAAGUUUUUCCGGUGUAGGAUGAGCUCGCGGCCUAUCAGCUUGUUGGUGGGGUAAUGGCCUACCAAGGCGGCGACGGGUAGCCGGCCUGAGAGGGUGGACGGCCACAUUGGGACUGAGAUACGGCCCAGACUCCUACGGGAGGCAGCAGUGGGGAAUAUUGCACAAUGGGCGCAAGCCUGAUGCAGCGACGCCGCGGGGGGGAUGACGGCCUUCGGGUUGUAAACUCCUUUCGCUAGGGACGAAGCUUUUUGUGACGGUACCUAGAUAAGAAGCACCGGCUAACUACGUG
rnacentral:rRNA from 1 species